UUCAUGGAGAGUUUGAUCCUGGCUCAGGACGAACGCUGGCGGCGUGCCUAAUACAUGCAAGUCGAGCGGACAGAUGGGAGCUUGCUCCCUGAUGUCAGCGGCGGACGGGUGAGUAACACGUGGGUAACCUGCCUGUAAGACUGGGAUAACUCCGGGAAACCGGGGCUAAUACCGGAUGCUUGAUUGAACCGCAUGGUUCAAUUAUAAAAGGUGGCUUCGGCUACCACUUACAGAUGGACCCGCGGCGCAUUAGCUAGUUGGUGAGGUAACGGCUCACCAAGGCGACGAUGCGUAGCCGACCUGAGAGGGAUCGGCACACUGGGACUGAGACACGGCCCAGACUCCUACGGGAGGCAGCAGUAGGGAAUCUUCCGCAAUGGACGAAAGUCUGACGGAGCAACGCCGCG
rnacentral:rRNA from 1 species